rnacentral:rRNA from 1 species
UUGAAGAGUUUGAUCAUGGCUCAGAUUGAACGCUGGCGGCAGGCCUAACACAUGCAAGUCGAGCGGUAGCACAGAGAGCUUGCUCUCGGGUGACGAGCGGCGGACGGGUGAGUAAUGUCUGGGAAACUGCCUGAUGGAGGGGGAUAACUACUGGAAACGGUAGCUAAUACCGCAUAACGUCGCAAGACCAAAGUGGGGGACCUUCGGGCCUCAUGCCAUCAGAUGUGCCCAGAUGGGAUUAGCUAGUAGGUGGGGUAAUGGCUCACCUAGGCGACGAUCCCUAGCUGGUCUGAGAGGAUGACCAGCCACACUGGAACUGAGACACGGUCCAGACUCCUACGGGAGGCAGCAGUGGGGAAUAUUGCACAAUGGGCGCAAGCCUGAUGCAGCCAUGCCGCGUGUGUGAAGAAGGCCUUCGGGUUGUAAAGCACUUUCAGCGGGGAGGAAGGCGAUAAGGUUAAUAACCUUGUCGAUUGACGUUACCCGCAGAAGAAGCACCGGCUAACUCCGUGCCAGCAGCCGCGGUAAUACGGAGGGUGCAAGCGUUAAUCGGAAUUACUGGGCGUAAAGCGCACGCAGGCGGUCUGUCAAGUCGGAUGUGAAAUCCCCGGGCUUAACCUGGGAACUGCAUUCGAAACUGGCAGGCUAGAGUCUUGUAGAGGGGGGUAGAAUUCCAGGUGUAGCGGUGAAAUGCGUAGAGAUCUGGAGGAAUACCGGUGGCGAAGGCGGCCCCCUGGACAAAGACUGACGCUCAGGUGCGAAAGCGUGGGGAGCAAACAGGAUUAGAUACCCUGGUAGUCCACGCCGUAAACGAUGUCGAUUUGGAGGUUGUGCCCUUGAGGCGUGGCUUCCGGAGCUAACGCGUUAAAUCGACCGCCUGGGGAGUACGGCCGCAAGGUUAAAACUCAAAUGAAUUGACGGGGGCCCGCACAAGCGGUGGAGCAUGUGGUUUAAUUCGAUGCAACGCGAAGAACCUUACCUGGUCUUGACAUCCACAGAACUUUCCAGAGAUGGAUUGGUGCCUUCGGGAACUGUGAGACAGGUGCUGCAUGGCUGUCGUCAGCUCGUGUUGUGAAAUGUUGGGUUAAGUCCGCAACGAGCGCAACCCUUAUCCUUUGUUGCCAGCGGUCCGGCCGGGAACUCAAAGGAGACUGCCAGUGAUAAACUGGAGGAAGGUGGGGAUGACGUCAAGUCAUCAUGGCCCUUACGACCAAGGGCUACACACGUGCUACAAUGGCAUAUACAAAGAGAAGCGACCUCGCGAGAGCAAGCGGACCUCAUAAAGUAUGUCGUAGUCCGGAUUGGAGUCUGCAACUCGACUCCAUGAAGUCGGAAUCGCUAGUAAUCGUAGAUCAGAAUGCUACGGUGAAUACGUUCCCGGGCCUUGUACACACCGCCCGUCACACCAUGGGAGUGGGUUGCAAAAGAAGUAGGUAGCUUAACCUUCGGGAGGGCGCUUACCACUUUGUGAUUCAUGACUGGGGUGAAGUCGUAACAAGGUAACCGUAGGGGAACCUGCGGUUGGAUCACCUCCUU